GCCGCAGUUCACACGUGGUUGCUGUCCGUGACUUUCAACGUCACUUCCUGUGCGCGUUUACGACACUUGGUACGACAGUAUCAUGGCGGCGUUCGGAGCCAGUUUUGAAAGUGCGGAAAGCGUCCAGCAAAGAAGGGAGUUGAAACGAAAGGCCAAAGAAGAAGCACUGCGGCAGGCCAAGGACAAGUUUGAGCAGGAGGAGAGGAGGAAGGAGCUGAAGCACGCCCGAGGAGAGGACACCUGGAUGCUCCCACAGGUCGACUUGCGGCUGCAGGAGCUAGAACAGUUCUCUUCUCAGGAACACUCAUCCGCAAGGAAGAAGAAGGAGAAGAAGUCCAGAAAGAGCAAGAAGGAGAGGAAGAAGAAAGCGAAGAAAGACGAGAAGGCUGGACAGCAGGAAGCGAGCAGUGACAGCUCUGAGGACUCUGAGGAUGAGUGGGUGGAGACACCGCCCAAAGCCGAUGCCCUGGCGAAGGCGUGGAAGAUCCCCGCUGAGAAGCUGCCUUCAGCUGUCGACCAGGCCCCGCCCAGCCAGAGAGACGAGUGGAUGACCUUCGACUUCUUAACCAUGAAGACGUCAUCGGUAGUAGAGCGACGUGCAGAGAGGGAGAGGGCCAAGGAGGUGGAGCGGGAGAAGGCACAAGCCGUUGAGCAGGCUGGACUACACAAGCUGGAGUUGAAUCCCUAUUGGAAGGAUGGAGGGUCUGGGCUGCCUUCUGAGGACACUCCAGUUCUAAAAGCCACAGUGGUGGAUGACGGUGGGCUCAGCUGGCUCCAGAAGUCCUACCAGCGCAUGAGGGAGCAGGCCCAGAGGGAGCAGCGCAGCUUGGAGGAGGUGGUGUCUGAGAGAUACGGGUCCAUGGAGAAGUUCCUCAAGAGGCUAGAGGAGGCAGAAAAUGCAACUCGUACCAAAGGGGGGCAUCAGGAAGAGCGGGGAUGGAAGAGAGUGGGUCCUCGAUCCUCAGACAUUAGGCAGGACCAUGACUUGUCCCCAGUAGCUAGCCGAGGCAAGGAACAGGGUAGAGAUGAGGACAGGGACCGGGACAUGGGCGGGGACAGGAACAAGAGUGGAGCAAGGGCUCGGGACAGAGACAGGGGUGGCCAUGCAGAGGAGGCACGACAAAGAACCAGGGAGGAACAGCAGCCUCAUGGAGAGACAGAGAGAGCCCGGCCUGGCCUGUCCCGGGCCUCCCUGAAAGCCAAGUUCCUUAAGCCCUCAGAUGGGGGACAUGACAUGAGCGCCACCUGGGGGGUCAGGCGCCACACCCCCGUGGAAUUGCUGCAGCCCAGCGACAGCGAGGGUAAGCCUGCUGGUGGGUAUCCGGCCUGGAGGAAGAUGAGCUGCUCUGGACAGGAUGCCAUCAGAUCCACUUCUUUGGAAGGGCAGUCUGGCAGUGGCCCCAGAGCGCCUUCGCCAGGAGAGGUCAGAACGGAGAUCAUCAUGGGUCAGCAGCAGCAGAAGCAGCCUCAUGGGAAAGUUCCACAGAGCCGAAGCAGAGCCACAGGGACAUUGCCCAGGGUUCCCGAGUCAGUGAGUAAAGACAACGAGGUAGAGGAAGAAGAGCUUCUCACAGAAGAGCAAAUGAACAAACUGGGGGCCAAGCUGGUCAAGGCUGAGCUCAUGGGGAACAAGGACUUGGUGGAGAAGCUCAGUGCCCAGCUAGCAGCUGCCCGUCGAGCCAGAGAAAACCAGACCAAGGGCGGGGCACUGGCCGGGGGACCUCGAAUUGUCCAGAGCCAGGCAGCAGGGCAGCUGGAGGAAGACCGGGAGGUGGUUCUGUACCGGAUGGACCAGUCUGGUCAGGCAUGGCCUGUCGGUGCCCCAUCGCAGCCCUUGGAGCCCAGAGGGGGACGCAGGAAGAAGAAGUUGAUCGAGACGCACCGCGACGGAGAGCGUAUGCGCUACUUUGCGGACGACGACAGCGUGGACCUGCGCGAGAUGGUACGCAGGGAGAAGAUGAGCUCAUCCGUGGACCAGAACGCCCUGUAUUCCCGCAUGGCGGCCAAGGCCCUGGGGAAGCAGGAUGGGGACGCCUACACUCUGGACGACAUGUUUGUGUCCAGCGCAGCGCAGCAGGAACGCUCAGGGCAGGAGGAAGAGCGCCAGCGCAGUCGCGCCGUACACGAGCACCAGCGUCUGGCGGCACGCAUGGACAAAUGUCCGUACUGCUUCGACAGCGCCGAGCUGCCCAAACACCUGGUGGUGGCCAUCGGCACCAAGGUGUACCUGUGUCUGCCCAAUGCCGUCUCCCUGACAGAGGGACAUUGCCUGGUCGUGCCGCUGCAGCAUCACACGGCCGCCACCGCCCUGGACGAGGAGGUGUGGGAUGAGGUCCAGGUCUGUCCGAGUCUCCGUUUUUCAAAUUCCCGCAAAACUCCCAAAUGGCGCAACAAGCGGUGGUGUCCUCAUUCGCGACUAACUCCAUAUGUGUGUUGGUUCAUUUGUGGGCAGUACGUAGGGAAGGGGCGCAGAAGUUUCCUCCUUCUUCCUCGUUGCUCUGCUCCAUUCCCCCAUCAUCACUGUCCACUGCAUUUCCCUCCUGUGUGUGUUACUGUGGCUGCUGUGGGAUGCCCUGUACCGCAGCUGCGGGAGCAGUAAUUGGUGCACUCGAGUCCAAGCAUAGACCCACUAGGUUGCUGAAAGCCUUCCGUGAUUGCUAACGAUGUGGCUGGGUCUGUGCCGGACUUCUUGUGUCCACGGCUUGUCUCUCGUUAUUCUGUUUUAGUGGUAGGACAACAGAGUAACAGAGUAGGAUGUUGAGGGUUAUGGGUGUCCUCUGGGCUCCAGGCUCUGUAACCCCACUGGGAGCUGUGACUAUGAGAUCCAGUGUAUGGUCGACAGUGUGUAUAUGUAUUCUUAUUACAACGUGCCACUGCUUGUGUUGUGUCGCUUCUUCAGGACCCUCUAUGUUCGGUAGUUAACCCAACUAGUGGGGUUACUUGUCCUGCUCGUGGUAGGUCCACAAGUGAAAGGCUCUCGGUUCUUUCUUCUGGCUCCAGGGUGGUGAAAUGAGCUCCUUGUGUCCCUCAGAGCUGCUAAAUCCCACCUUGCAUUGAAGAAAGGCCUCAAACCCAUGUUUUUCAGAGCCACUUUUCUUCUGAUCUCCUCACAGCUACAGAAAUGAGUCCAACACCAUUAUCUAUGCGUACCUCUCCUUCCUGGGGUUCUUUCGUGCAUGACUGGGGGUGCAAAUGCUUGAAAAACAUGCAAAGCCCACACACCCAGUGUUGGACCCGAACCCACAUCCACGGAGCAGCUCAGGAGCAGUGAGGCACCAGCUUUACCCGCUGCACCUCCGUGUCCUACAUAAAUGGCUUUAAUAACAUUAGUACCCUUAGUACUAAUACUAGUUUCAUUCUAGGGGAACCGAUAUAGACGCACGUCUGGU